rnacentral:rRNA from 1 species
AAAUUGAAGAGUUUGAUCAUGGCUCAGAUUGAACGCUGGCGGCAGGCCUAACACAUGCAAGUCGAACGGUAACAGGAAGCAGCUUGCUGCUUUGCUGACGAGUGGCGGACGGGUGAGUAAUGUCUGGGAAACUGCCUGAUGGAGGGGGAUAACUACUGGAAACGGUGGCUAAUACCGCAUAACGUCGCAAGACCAAAGAGGGGGACCUUCGGGCCUCUUGCCAUCAGAUGUGCCCAGAUGGGAUUAGCUUGUUGGUGAGGUAACGGCUCACCAAGGCGACGAUCCCUAGCUGGUCUGAGAGGAUGACUAGCCACACUGGAACUGAGACACGGUCCAGACUCCUACGGGAGGCAGCAGUGGGGAAUAUUGCACAAUGGGCGCAAGCCUGAUGCAGCCAUGCCGCGUGUAUGAAGAA